rnacentral:rRNA from 1 species
AUUGAACGCUGGCGGCAGGCCUAACACAUGCAAGUCGAACGAGUGGCGGACGGGUGAGUAAUGUCUGGGAAACUGCCUGAUGGAGGGGGAUCACUACUGGAAACGGUAGCUAAUACCGCAUACCCUCGGAUGUGCCCAGAUGGGCUUAGCUAGUAGGUGGGGUAAUGGCUCACCUAGGCGACGAUCCCUAGCUGGUCUGAGAGGAUGACAAGCCACCAUGGAACUGAGCCACGGUCCAGACUCCUACGGGAGGCAGCGUUGGGGAAUAUUGCACAAUGGGAGCAAGCCUGAUGCAGCCAGGCCGCGUGUAGGAAGAAGGCCUUCGGGUUGUAGAGGACUUUCAGCGGGGAAGCGUUACCCGCAGAAGAAGCACCGGCUAACUCCGUGCCAGCCGCCGCGGUAAUAC